UACGUAGGGUGCGAGCGUUAAUCGGAAUUACUGGGCGUAAAGGGCGCGUAGGCGGCCCGCUAAGUCGAACGUGAAAUCCCCGGGCUCAACCCGGGAACUGCGUCCGAUACUGGUGGGCUUGAAUCCGGGAGAGGGAUGCGGAAUUCCAGGUGUAGCGGUGAAAUGCGUAGAUAUCUGGAGGAACACCGGUGGCGAAGGCGGCAUCCUGGACCGGUAUUGACGCUGAGGCGCGAAAGCCAGGGGAGCAAACGGG
rnacentral:rRNA from 1 species